CGAUGACACGUGCUCCGGCUUGCUUGAGUGCUGCUGCGCAGCCCUUGCCGACAUCUCCGUAUCCGCAGACAACAGCGGUCUUUCCGGCAAUCAUCACAUCGGUGGCUCUCAUAAGACCAUCAGGAAGUGAGUGGCGGCAACCGUAAAGGUUAUCGAACUGUGAAAAAAAUAAAACAAAAAAUCAGAUCUCAUUUUAUAAUUCUAGAUCUAAGAAUAUAAAAUAAAACCACUAGAUCUACUCUAUCUAUCUAUCUACCUUGCUCUUGGUAACGGAAUCGUUAACGUUGAUGGCAGGGAAAAGAAGAGUUCCAUUAAGUUGCAUCUGAUAAAGCCUGUGAACUCCGGUGGUGGUCUCUUCAGAAACUCCGACGAGUCUGUCUCUCAUCGUCCUGUACUUGGUGGGGUUGAUUUUUAAACCUUCUUUGAUCAAACCCAACACGAUCU
rnacentral:lncRNA from 1 species